AUGACGAGUAGGAUGGGAUUCUUGAAGGUGAAACUUAACAUUGUCUUUAGUGUUAUUGCAGAAACAUUGAGAGCUAGAAGCACUUUGGAUGUAGAUAACCACAAUAUGUUCCUUCGUAUUUAUAAGUUAAUAGAUACUCAUGAAGAGAUCUCAAUUAGUCAUACUUUCAGGGAAACUAAUCAAUGUGCUGAUGUGCUGAUGUGCUUGCUAAUAUUAAAGUUGAUAUAG